rnacentral:lncRNA from 1 species
UGCUCAAUUCAUUUUCUACACUUUCAGUCAAUGUGCUUAAAGAGCUUUACACAUGGUCUAGCUGGAAGGAUAGUAUAGAAAAGGUUGAAAUCUUGUAACCCCAUUUAAAAAUGCAUGAGAGGGGACAGAUUUGGGUUUCUGCUGCCUGUUCACCAUGGACACCCAAGAGGCAGAAACAGGGAAAGAAGCCUGUAGCCUUUCUGUGACUCAUUGUAAUGCAGAAAAGCCUGGUGACAGGGAGUUGUUUUUAUUUUUAUACUAUUACUAGACUGAAAAGCAUUAAUAUUGUCAUACAGAUGGUCACCUAUGUUGGAAGCUUAUGAAAGAACUCUAAAUUGCGAAAAGAUUAUUCUAAAUUCAGGAAAGCAUCAACUCCUCCUGUCUACUGUUGAUGGGCAUUUAGGUUGAUUCCAUGUCUUUGCUAUUGUAAAUAGUGCUGCAAUGAAAAUACACAUGCAUGUGUCUUUAUUGUAAAAUGAUUU